rnacentral:rRNA from 1 species
CAUAAUCUCUGAGGAGAAAAGCAGGGGAUCGCAAGACCUUGCGCUUUUGGAGCGGCCGAUGCCUGAUUAGCUUGUUGGUUAGGUAAAAGCUUACCAAGGCUUCGAUCAGUAGCUGGUCUGAGAGGACGACCAGCCACACUGGGACUGAGACACGGCCCAGACUCCUACGGGAGGCAGCAGUGGGGAAUUUUGGACAAUGGGGGCAACCCUGAUCCAGCCAUGCCGCGUGAGUGAAGAAGGCCUUCGGGUUGUAAAGCUCUUUCAGCCGGAACGAAACGGUUACGGUUAAUACCCGUGACUAAUGACGGUACCGGAAGAAGAAG